GCGUCCUGACCAAACCCGGAGGGGAUCCUCCCGAGGCCCUUCACCCCGAGGAGCCAGUCCUGCAGCUGCCCUGACUCCUGGGGCUGGCGGCUGAGGCCCAGAGCCUGGGCAGGAGGCCAGGGGCAGAAAGGGAGGCCGCAGCCGGGGCCGGUGGCCUGAGGAGUGCGGGCCGGAGGCCUUCCCUAGGAGGACUCCGCUGACAGGAAUGGGAGCCAUGAAAGAGAAGAAAAUGGUCAAGAAAGGAAGCUUGCAUGGACCCAGAUCUGAGGGAGUCCGCUGAGCUGAGGAUAAGAUGUCCUCUCCUCACAUGUCAGAGCUUCCUUCUCACCAGCCCUACCUUCUGGGGAACACAGACUGAGCCACCGAGAAACUUUCUCAUAAGCUGGCUUUCCCUGUGGCCUUCUAACAGAGAGAGGGCACGCCGACAGGGGAACAGAGGCACGGAGUAGUUCAAGAACCUUACCGAAGCUACACAGCCCUAAGUGGCAGACCUGGAAGGGAGGCCCAGCAGUCUGGCGGUAAGUGGUUAAGCGACCACUGUGCCACGCCGCCCCUCGAAAGCUAAUGCCAAGCGCCUAGAUUUGAGGCCUUUGUGACUACGAGCCCAGGGACAAAUGGGCCUCUUUGCUUUCCUGUCCCUGUGAUUGACUGUCUCUCCCAAAUAGUCAAACACCUCAAAGGAGUGAAGAGAUGUGUGAGGGAGGGAGAAGCAGAACCGCAAGAGAAGAGGUGAGCAGAGGGGUAAUCACAGGCCUGGUUUCCCUGUCACCCGCCUCCCCACACCAGAAGCCCGGGGAGAGCACCUCCUCUCCCAGGCUGGCUCUGGCCCUGCCCCUCGGACGCAUAGGCCCCGUCCUGCCUGGAAGCUCAUCCCCUCCCAUCCCCAGUACGAGUCAGCUCUGCUCCUGGAGGUUAAGGGGACUGGGCCACCGUGUUUACCGGGACUCCAGCAGGACACACGUCUUUGGCUCCGUCAACCACAGGAGCGCUUGCUGCUGUUGGCAGACAGUUUUGAGUCCCUGCCCGGCUGCUCCCUGCUGUGAGGCCUGGGGCAACUUACUUGACCUCUCACCAGCCUCAAUUUCUCUGUAUAUUAAGUGGAGGUACUAAAAGUACAGGUAGGGAUUGAACGCAACAGUGUGGGUGAUGCAUUUGGCACUGUGGCCCUCAAAGCAGGGUAACUGGUAUGUCAUUAUCAUCAUCAUCAUCAUCAUCAUCAUCAUCAUCAUCAUCCUGCCACCCUCAUCCUCUUCAGGGUCAUGGGAGGCUUGGAGAGAUGGGCUGAAAGGCAUUCAGAGUCUUGGCUGCCAGGAUGCCUUUCUAAUCAGCACCAACGUCAGACUCCAGCUAUUAAUACCCAGCCAGCCCCACCAGUCCGUAGAUUUAGCGUUCCAAAGAGGAGGUACAGAGGUGGAGAGGGCGGGUCUGGGGAACAGGUGGCUGAGGACUGGAGAAGGAGCCCUUUCUCUGUGGGAACAACCCUUCCCAGCCUCGCAGGCCGACUUGGCCUGUCCCCCAGACACCCUCCACCUGUGGUCUAGGGUCUGGGAAGGUGUGAAAUUCCUGCCUGAAGCCGAGCUGCAGGCAGUCAGACUCUCAGUCCCCUAAGGGCACAGCACUGUCUUUCCAGGAAUCCAAUGUCCCGAGUGAGCAGGGCCCCCCACUUGGGCCUCCAGAAAAGACAAACCAGCUCAUGGCAGUGUGGAACGUGAGGGCAGAGAGAGCCCCCGGAGCUCCCAAUCUCUCCUCCUGACUUAGAGCACAGCCUCCCAUACACAGCUGGGUGACGGGGCAGAUGGAUGCGCCCCAGCCUCAGUUUCCUCCCGUUCCCUGGGAAUAAUCAUUUUCAACCCUUUCGCACCAUAGAAACAUUUUCACUCGGCUGUGGAAAGAACACAUGGAAUGAUUCACGUGGAGCACGGGGCUCAGUGCGCAGUAAGUGUGCGGUGAAGAGAGGCUGUUGGGAGCCCAGUUUCUUCAUCUUAUACAUGACUUCUUGUUCCUUCCUGCAUGAGCGGCGGCAGACCUCAAGGAGCAAAGAUCUUCCAGGAAUUUCCCAGUCCCCCACCGGAGCUAAGAAUUCUAUCCAUGAAUGUUU